rnacentral:rRNA from 1 species
AAAUUGAAGAGUUUGAUCAUGGCUCAGAUUGAACGCUGGCGGCAGGCCUAACACAUGCAAGUCGAACGGUAGCACAGAGAGCUUGCUCUCGGGUGACGAGUGGCGGACGGGUGAGUAAUGUCUGGGAAACUGCCCGAUGGAGGGGGAUAACUACUGGAAACGGUAGCUAAUACCGCAUAAUGUCGCAAGACCAAAGUGGGGGACCUUCGGGCCUCACACCAUCGGAUG